GGCAGUGUAGCCAAGUGGUUACGGCGUCACGUUUAGGCCAACACGUCCUUAAACCGUGAUGGGUUUCCCUCGCGAGUUCGAAUCUCGUCACUGUCA